GAUGAACGCUGGCGGCGUGCCUAAUACAUGCAAGUCGAACGAAGAUCUAGCUUGCUAGAUCUUAGUGGCGAACGGGUGAGUAAUACAUAAAUAAUCUGCCCAUAUGACUGGGAUAACUAUUGGAAACGAUAGCUAAUACCGGAUAGGUUGAUUGGAGGCAUCUCUGAUUAAUUAAAGUAGGAUUCCUACACAAAUGGAUGAGUUUAUGGCGCAUUAGUUAGUUGGUGGGGUAACGGCCUACCAAGACGAUGAUGCGUAGCCGACCUGAGAGGGUGACCGGCCACACUGGGACUGAGACACGGCCCAGACUCCUACGGGAGGCAGCAGUAGGGAAUUUUCGGCAAUGGGCGCAAGCCUGACCGAGCAACGCCGCGUGAGUGAUUAAGGCCUUCGGGUUGUAAAGCUCUGUUGUAAGGGAAGAACAUUCAGGAUAGGAAAUGGUCUUGAACUGACGGUACCUUACCAGAAAGCCACGGCUAACUACGUGCCAGCCGCCGCCGUAA
rnacentral:rRNA from 1 species